rnacentral:tRNA from 1 species
GACACGGUGGUCCAGCGGUUAGAACGCUGGCCUUGUAAUCCUGGGGUCUCGGGUUCGAUUCCCGGCGGUGCCC